GAUUGUGUUUUGCAAUGAAUGUCUUAGCUCGCUUGAUGAUGAAGAAUGUAGCAAAAUGCAAUAUUCAUUGUGAAUUGCAGAAUUCCGUGAACCAAUAGGUUUGUGAACGCCAUGGGUGCCUUUGGGAUAUGCCUAAGGGUGUGCUUGAUUCAAUGUCAAG
rnacentral:rRNA from 1 species